UUAGGGAAGACAUGUGCUUUCUUUGGGUUGACUGAGCUAGAAUAUCAGCCUGGAGUGACAGCAGGUAGCCAUUUGUCUCCCAUUCAGUCAUUCAGUAACAGUUUAUUGAAUAGCUGGUAUGUUCCUCACGCCAUUGUAGGCAUUAGGAAUAUGGACAUAAACACAUAAUUCCAACUCUUGGGUUUUCACCAUCCACUUAAGAGGCAAAUAAAAUAAUCACUUUAACAAAAUAUGAGAAAUGUUUCAGAGUAUUACAUUAUUAGGGAAAGGCAGCCAAUUCAGGCAAGGCUUCCCAGAAGAGAAAGCUCUUUGAACCUUGUUGCAUAAUUAGGACUUAACCAGUAGACAGGCUGGUUAGAGUGGUUCCAAAAGAGGAGUCAGUAGGUCUAAAGGCAGGGAGGGGAGGCUCAGCUGGGCAGGCUCGGGCACCCACCAUAUUCAAUCAGACUCAACGGAGUGGGAGGAAAGAAGCUGGAUGGCCAUUGUUUUGGAUUUUUGCUGAAGACAAGAUGCUUCUAAAAGAUUCAAAGCAGGAGUUGCUGCUGCUGCUGCUGCUUCUGCUCUAUCCCAGCAUGACAGCCUGCUGUUACUCACAGCUGGCAGACACUGUGAACUAUGAUGCCACGUCAGCUACUCGGAACCUUUCUGCUUGAGCAACAGUUUCCCAGUGGAAUAAUUUUGUGUGUGGCUCCUGAGGCUGGAAACAUGAUCUGACCACCAUACUGAGAAGGUCUGAGUAAAAGAAGCCAGUACCUGAGAUUAUAGAAAGAAACCACACAAAACACUUCCCAUGACUAAAUAAGAAUUCCAAGGAGAAAUUAAACAGUAUAUUGACUUUCUAAACAAUCAUGACAGCAAGUUGAUAAUGGACAAAAAAAAACACAAACAGGAUUAGAAACUGAAAAAAUAAAAUUUAGAGACUUUUAAUCAGCAUUGUGGAUAUUAGUUCAUUUACAAAGUCCGCAUGAGGUUGGAGUGCACAAAAACCGACUGCUAAAUCUUCGAUAGAGCUGGGGUCUUCCUCUGUGUGGCCAACACACUCCAGAAGUCUACAGAUGUUCUUGCACCCACCUGGAAUGGACAGGCCACGCCAAAGAGAAACGCAGACCUCAUAUACACAGACUGAAAGUCUCGUGCCCGCCCACCACAAGACUGAGUCACAGAUGGGAGAGCAUCUUGGAACUCCCUGGGAGAAGUGACACAAAAGGUGGAAAGCCUGGUUUUGAGCAGAGACAGCACAUCACGAUGGUCACACGCGUGGGUGCUGAAGCUACCCCGCCAGCCUGGGUCCCUGGCUCUGCUACUCUCUGACUCUCCUGAUGUCGGAGAGCUCACCACGCUCCGCUCCUAGUAUCUAGAUCAGAGAAGCACUAAGCAGACCACAAUGGAACCGCCUCUAGGAAACCUACAUGCUCAUGAGGGAGCCAGACAAGCAAACAAAAAUAAAUCCAUCCUGGAACAAUGGACGGUAUACUUCCCUAUGAAGGCAAGAUGAACCCAGGGAGGGCUGUCCCACGGCGAGGUAUGGGAGGGAGUAAGGAGGGCAGAGUGAACUGUAAAUGCAGGGUCUUAAGGCAGCAACACGUUUGGCCUAUUGGAGGAGUGAGAAGGCCAGAGGCUCCGUAGGGAGCUGGUCUGGAGAGAGAAGGUGCAAAAGAGCAUCCGGAAGGGAGGCGAGUGACCCGGUAGGGGCAUGAAGCAGAGGGCAGGCAGAACGGAGCAGCCACCUGAGCUCUUCCCUCACAAAGUGACGACCAGGAAGCAGCUGUGUGUUUUCAUCCAGCCACAGUCUGACAUUUGGUGCCUAUGGGCAGAUGCGAAUAGGCUUCCCAAAUAAGGUUCUGAAGUGCAGCCAGGGUUGAGACUGGCUGAUCUAUGUGGGCCACCCAGCAAGAGUGAGGACAGAAGCGCUGGUGAGCAGGGUGCAGUGAGCCAGCAGGGCCCAGAGCCUCAACUGGAUGAGGCGUGAGUGCAGGGUGGGGGACCACCUACCGCAGCAUGGGAGGUUUAUGCAGAUUAGGUGGCCUCUCCUUCAAAGCAAUGGUGUGAUUGCCAGGGGGAGAAAGUUAAAAAAAAAAAAAAAAACUGGUGGGGAAGGGUCAGGGGGGAAUAAGGGUCUGGAAAUGGCCAUGAGGAGCAAAGCAGGAUCCUACCCCACCAUCAGGCCCUGGGACCCCAGAUCCCUAGGAGUAAGUCAGGUAUCAGUCAGAGCAAAAAGGUGAGGGGGACAUUCAGAGAAGAUGGUGAGGACACUGGGUGUGAGGGUGCAGCUUGGGGGUUAGGAGGGUGAGAGAUAAAGUCAAAUGAGACAUACAGAGCUAUGUGGACAGGAGGGCGUGGGGGUCCCAGACUGAGGUCAUCACAAGGGAAGGCACCAUGGGAUUAGCACCAAGGUCUUUCAGCGAAGGUGAGUGACCAAUUCUAAUUAGAGCCUCCCUCUUGUGUUUUAUUUAGACUCCCUGGCAGCACACUCAUUUCCUGCAGCUGCCAUAACAAACUGCCAUAGACUAGGCAGAUUAAAACAAAGGAAUUGAUCUCUCACAGUUCUGGAGGCUGAAAGUCUGAACUCACGCGUCGGCAGGGCCCUGCUCCCUCUGAAGGCUCUGUGGGAGGACCUUCCUCUCCGCUUCUUAGCUUCUCCUGGCUCCCGGCAAUCCUUGGCUUGUAGCCCCAUCACUCCAAUGUCUGCCUCAGUCUCCCCACGGUCAGUCUUCCCUCUGUGUGUGUCCACAUCUCCCUCUACUGAAAAAGGCACCAGUCACUGCACGAAGGCCACCCAGUAGGACCUCAUCUUAGCUUCAUUGCAGCUAUGAAGACCCUGUUUCUCAAAAAGGUCACAUUCACAGGUACCAGUGGCUAGGAUUUCAGCAUGCCUUUUGCAGGGACACAGUCGAACCCACAAUAGGCACUUCGUGGAGGUGAUGUGACAGCCAGGAAUACUGUUCUUCCCCGAAGAACACAGGCUCUAAUGAAGCCUGUGUUACUAUGAAGUAACUAUGAAGCGCUCUGAGAGCCUGUCAUAGCAGAAGAGGGUACGGUGUAGGCCUCCUUUAUAGAUCUCUGUCCCCUGAGCUUGGUGGCCCACCUCAACCCCACCAGAAUAAAAAAUCAGAGCUGGUUCAGGGAAAACCCAUCCUCAUAGUGGAUAAACAACUCAAACAAACUUUGGGUUCAUGGCAAGUCAGCAGUAUCUGUCAAUACCCAAUAGAAUGUAUUUGAUGAGAAGCUAGCUACACAUUGACCAGAUAAGAAAAGCUACAGGACUUCCUACUCUCUCACCAUGAGCAGCAAUCAGUGAAACUGGAGAGAGAAAGACAAAGAAAAUCACCUCUGUGUGCUACGGAACCCAUCUGGUUGACGGGUCACAUCCUCCAGCAAUCAGCUAUCACGAACUAAGGGCCUAUUAUUGCAACAACUGACACAAGGAAAAGAAAGUGUGUUGCACCAUGCAAGGAACUUACCCACCAGCUGGGGGCAUGAAGAAAGUGGAGCCACAUAUUAAAGGUGAAGAAAUCGAGAUUCACACACACCAAGUGGUUUGCUUGCCCAAGAUCAAAGAGCUUAGAAGUUUCCAAGUCAGGAAUCGAACCCAAGUCUUUUAUCCUUAAACCCAUGGCUUUUCUGGCAAAACAUGGAUGGGAGAGUCGGGUUUUGGAUAGGUAAGGAAAAACAAGGAGAGUAUGUUAUAUGUGGGUAAUAGGAUUAAUGUUUAAUUAUUACAUUUAGCCAAUCAGCUCCUGAGAGCCAGCCUGUGUUUCCAGAAGCUGCUGUCAAUUCUUCAGUUUUUCCCAUAUCUGGGUCAGUAAGAAGAGGAUCACAAGGUCUCCUUGUGGUUAUUUUUAAGGAAAAAAAAACUUUAAAGAAAAGGAAAGGAUGAAAAUGAACAAAGUGAGAAAUCUUACAAGCUGAAUUCAAAGGGGAAUCAUUCGACAGGAACAGCUGGGUUACUGACCCGGACUUGGAACCUGCCGGGAGGGUCCCCGGUGGAUCACAGUGGUUCCUGGCCCCACCGGAACUGAGGGGGGGGUGGCCUGGAGUCUACAUCAGAGGGUGGACCUGGGACACAGCAGAAACCGGAGGCAGGAGGCCCCCCUUCCCCAUGCCUGCUUUUUUUAAAGCACCAUUACCCUUGAUCCUUUAUUCAGAUAAUAAAGGGAGACAGAAAUCCAGGGGGCCCGUUCCAGCUCUUACCACUGGCUUUUGCGCUUUCAGAACAACAAAAAAAAGGCAGGGGAAUCUUUUAAGCAAUCACCGUAUGUUGCAGGAAAGUGGCACCAAUUGACGUGUGACUGCUGUUCCUAAGAGAGAGAUUCUGAGUGCCCCUUGAUGGGCUUUUCUGCGACGAAUCAGUGGUAAUGCAAACCCCCUGCCCAGCUUUCCCAUCCACUCAAAGACGCCAGGAAAGAAGCUGUACGUGCCAGAAAACAGAUCUCCCAGGACCUCAGAGUGAGAGGCUUCUGCAAAGCAUCCCACAGUGUCACGUGACAGCACAGAAUGGGUUUCUCUUUUUUUUCUGCCUUUAUUUUAUUUUUUUAAAUAUAUUUUAUUAAUUAUGCCAUUACAUUUGUUCUAUUUCCCCCUUCAUUUCCCUGCACCCUGCAUACCUCCUCCCCCACCAUCCCCCCUUUAGUUUAUGACCACGUGUCUCAAGUUCUUUAGAUUCUAUAUUUCCCAUACUAUUCUUGCCCUCCCCCCUAUCUAUUUUCUACCUACCGUCUAUGCUACUUAUUUUCUGUGCCUUCUCCCCCCUUCUCCUCCUCCCACUCCCCUGUUGCUAACCAUCCAUGUGAUCUUCAUUUCUAUGGUUCUGCUCCUGAUCUAGCUGUCCUUAGUUUCCUUUAGUUUUAGGUGUGGUUCUUAAUAACUGUGAGUUUGCUGUCCUUUCACUGUUCAUCUUUUUUAUCUUCUUUUUCUUAGGUAAGUCCCUUUAACAUUUCAUAUAAUAAGGGCUUGGUAAUGAUGAAUUUCUUGAAUUUGAUCUUAUCUGAGAAGCACCUUAUCUGUCCUUCCAUUCUAAAUGAAAGCUUUGCUGGAUAGAGCAAUCUUGGUUGUAGGUCUUUGGAUUUCAUGACUUGGAAUACCUCUUUCCAGCCCCUUCUUGCCUGUAAGGUCUCUUUUGAGAAAUCCGCUGACAGUCUGAUGGGAACUCCUUUGUAGGUGACUGUCCCCUUAUCCCAUGCUGCUUCUAGAAUUCUCUCCUUCAUUUUAAGCUUGGCUAAUGUAAUUAUGAUGUGCCUUGGUGUGUUUCUUCUUGAGUCCAACUUCUUUGGGACUCUCUGAGUUUCUUGGAUUUCCUGGAAGUCUAUUUCCUUUGCCAGAUUGGGGAAGUUCUCCUUUAUUAUUUAUUCAAAUAAGUUUUCCACUCGUGGCCAUUCCUCUUCCCCUUCUGGUACCCCUAUAAUUCGGAUGUUGGAACGUUUAAAGAUGUCCUGAAGGUUCCUAAGCCUCUCCUCAUUUUUUUGAAUUCUUCAUCCUUUUCUGUUUGGUCAUUUUUUUCCUCCUUCUGGUCCACUCCUUUGAUUUGAGUCCCAGUUUCCUUUCCAUUACUAUUGGUUUCCUGUGUAUUACCAUUCAUUUCAAUUAGUUUAGCCUUCAUAUGUUCCUCUAAUUUGUGACUAAAAUCAACCAGUUCUGUGAGCAUCCUGAUCACCAGUGUUUUGAACUGUGCAUCUGAAAGUUUGGCUAUUUCUUCAUCGCUUAGAUUUAUCAGCUCUGGGGCUCUGAGCUGUUCUUGAGCCAUGUUUUGAUCUGUUCUUGUCUGUUACAUAUGAGGAGCGGAGCCUUAGUUGUUUACCAGGGUGGGGACACCCAAGUCGCUGAUUUGUGAUGCUGUAUGUGGGGGUGUGGUCAGAGAGGGGCCACUCAGGUCGCUGGUUUGUGAUGCUGUAUGUGGGGGCAGGGUCAGAGAGGGAUAAUGGUGGUUCCCUCUGCCGCUUCCUGCCACUGGGACCUGCACGGUCUGUCUCACCGCUCCCUCCUUCACCAGUUUAUCUGCACGUGAAUGUGUGACCGUGAUCAGCCCUCAAUGGGUCCACCGCCUUGCGCCCUCAGUGGGUCCACUCGCUUCUCCACACCUGGGAUCCACCCAUGGCUGCUGGCACACCUGGGUUGUGUGCCCAGGUCGGUCAGGUGGAUCUUUCCUGCCCAACCCUGAUCUGCUGCUGGCUCUGCCCCUCUUACUGGUUUGGCUGAAGGGUUUGUUGUUGUCAGACUUCCGUAUAGUUCAAUUUUCUGUGGUUUGGCUGCGUUUUUGUUGCUAAAACUUUGGUGUUUUUAAACUUAGUUCUGGGAGAAGGCACAGUGCUUCCACCUACAUCUCCAUCUUGGUGGAAGUCCUGGGUUUCUCUAGGGUCCACAACACGGGGUCCCCUGCAGGGGGCAGUGCCAGAUACAGGUCCGUAGUCUAAGGAAGCCAUUCCCUCCCUGGUCGCGUCUCUAACCCAGGGCCCUGGUCAUGGGCAGUGUGGCUCUAAGUGUUGAACAGCACUGAAGGAGAAGAUUCACAGACACACACCGAGAUUGCCGGGCAGCCCCAGCGCUCUCUCUGGGCGGCAGCGUGUACUCUGGGGUUCCUGGAAAAUCAAGGUCAAUGCGAUCUUGUUUUACUGAGAAACUGGCCUUCGGCUGGGCCCUGAAUGGGUGCAACUUGCACAGGAAGGAAAUGGCCGGGAGAUCUGUUUCUUCAGGCGCUGCGUGUAACACAGACAGAAGCGAGCAAAACACACGCCCAGUCCCUGCUUUCACCGAGCCUGCAGUCUAGCCAUCGGAGGUCUCCUGUUGGCAUUAGAGUAGAGGGCACUGGUGGGCGUGGCGGAAGCUGACACUUGUUUAGGGCGGAUGCUUUGCCAAGCAGCCUGCUAAGUGCUUCCCAAAUGGGGGCAUCAUGUGGUCCUCGCUGCCGCUCAAGGAUAAAGGGGGUUGGCAUGAUCAUCUUUUUACGGGUCGGAAGCUGAGCCCGCGCAGCUAGCUAGUGGUAAAGCCGAAACUCAAAUCCAGGGCUGCCUGGCUCAGGGGCCAUCCCCCUUCCCCUCACCCCUGUGGGAAAUGAGGUCAGGUAAGGCUGUGUGGGGCAGGGCUUGGAGGCCGGGUGAGGCCCUUUCCUCUUCUCUCUGGAGGAAACGAGGUGUUUUGUUACAGCUCUCUCCUCCUGAUGUUGCCAUGCACCUCGCCCCCCAAAGUUCGGUUCCCAAGGGAAACAAAAUUCAGAGGACCAUCGAUCGGUCCCGGCAAGACAAAUCCUCUCUCUCCAAAUCUCUAUCAGCCUUCUUUCCACAGUGAACUGCAAUGACUAUCGUGGAAGGAAAUUUCAGUCGUAUUUUUCUCUCCCUCAAAUCCCAAACCUGGGAGAAGCCACAGGAAACCAGUGUCCAUGGUUUUUCUCCUCCAGCCCCUGUACUGGUCCCUUCUUCAUUCUCCCAAGAUCCACAAGAACCCUCAAAGUCUCCCAGAGACCAGAAGGCCCAUCAUUCUUUAGGCAGCAUCUCACCAGCAAAAUGUCCAAAGGAGAAGAGAGGCUUGCGAAGUCCCCCCCGCCCUUCAGUUGCCCACCUGCCUUCACAGGGAGAGAAUGGGAAGGAGAGAAGAGCCGUCUGCACGUUCUCCACCUCCUGAGAAGAUCAGAGGUUAGUCCUCGACCUCCAUCCCCUUCUUCAUUUCUGAAUCGACAAACACUGCUCCCUGACAAGGCCAGGAUCAAGAAGGACAAGGUGAAGGUUGAGCCACCUGGAGAGCAGAGCUGAAAAUGCUGAAACAGAACUGGAAACCCUUACGCUCAUAAAGAUAAUAACUGCUCAUCAACCGCAGAGCACGUUCAGAAACAUCACUUCAUUUGACUCUCACAAUGAAUUCUCUCGGCCCUCCGCAUCAAUUGAAGUGCCCUUCUGCAGACCUUGGCUGGCUCGGGGUGUCUUUAAGGCACAUCAGCUCAUGGGCCCCCUAUCACUUUGUCCAUUAUUCUGUAUGAAAGAGCACAAUGAAUUCAGCUAAAAUAAAGUGUGGAGCUGUUAGAGAUACUUUAAAUAUCCAACUGUAUUUUGUUCCAUGUCGGCCCAGCCUAGGCUGCAAAAAAUAUGCAUUUUGCUUUCACUCUGAAAUGAAUUUGAGCACACUGGUCCUGAGCAACCAUGUUGUCUCUUAUGAAAAUGACCCUUUGCAAAGUGCUUUCACAUACAUGAUCUUAUUUGACCCUCGCAUGAACCACAUGAGGCAGAAAGCACAUAUUAUUAUCCUCAUUUUUUCACAUGAGAAACAUAAAAAGGUGAGUCCCACCCAAGGUCAAACCGCUGGAAUCAGGGCCCCAGGGGCUGGCUCUGCAUCGAGAGGAAGAGGCCCUACUCACUGUGCAGUGCCAGCUUCCUUACAACCACUUGUGACUUAUUUAAAUCACCAAACGACCACCUCCGAGUCUUUCAGCCGCCCACAGCAGUCACGAAAUAUUCUACGGUUCCGUUGAAAGAAAAAAGGUUAGGGUUGGUCCAGUCCCUCUUGCCUUCUCUCUACACGCUCCCCGGGGGAACUCUCUGCCACGUCCUGGGUAUCAAUGUCACCUCCUUGCAAAUGAUGCCCAAACUGGUGUCUGGGAUAUAAAACUGCAUACUCGCUAUCUCCUGGAUGUCUCAGUAUACACAAAAUUCUGCCCCCAUCCUAUGCCCUCCACUGCCGAAACCCAGUUCCCUUUUGACACGCCUCCUCUCCAAUGCCUAUCCAGGAAUCUAGGCAUCAGCCAGGCCUUUCCUUCUCCUGACCCCGCCCACAUCCAAGCUGACACCCAAUCCUUUCCCUUUUCCCUCCUGCAUAGCUCACUGUCCUGUCCACUUCUCUCCCCCUCCGCCCACACCAAUCUGGGGCCAAGACACCAUCAUCUCUCAUUAGGACUCAUGGACACCUAGUUGGUCUAUUCCUCCCCAAACCUUCACCACAUAAAAGGAGUUCUUCCAAAAAUGCCAUUCUGGUGGUGCCACCCUAACCCACUCUGCUUAGACACUUCAGUGGUAUCACACCGCUGUCAGGGCAACGGCAAAACACCCCUAAACAGCCCACGGGUCCCAGUCUAGUCUGGUCCCCACCUCCAGCCUCUUCUCCAGCCCAGCCCCUGCAGCCUUCCUUCAGCAGGUUCCUCUCACUGUGCUUGGUUUCGCCCCAGUGGCCUAGAAUAUGCCUCCCUGCUUAAAUUCCCAGAAUUAGAUUGCCAGAAGGCUCCGCCUUCAGAUGGAGAUUCAAGGGUCUUUCCUCAGGGAAAGCUUUCUGGACCUCCCUGAGUUAAAUUCCCCAUCAUAUUUUGCAUGGCACUGGCUUGGCAUGGUUUGUGAAUUUAAUUAACAUCUGUCUCCCCACUAGACGUCUAACCUUUUGCUCGCCGUCAUGCUCCCUGUGCUGUGCUGAUCUUAGCAUAUAAAUGAGCAUCAAGGAAUGUUUGUUAAAUAUAUGAGUGAACCCAUUACCAAGGAGAUAGCCGUAUAGGCUCAACACCCUCCUUAUGGAAUAGUAAGCAACUGCCACAAAAAUUGAGAUGAGUAUGUUUACUAACAUGGAAUGAUGUCCGUGACAUAUUAUUGCCUUACCACAGUGCGUCACAGAACACUAUGCAUAGAAUUAUCAGCAGUUUUUAAAACUUAUGUGUCUUUACUUUAAAACACACACCAACAACCUCCGUGAGUGUGCACAUGUGUUUAAAUGUGUUUUACAAAGCCCGUGAGACUAACACCAGCUGCUUUCAGUGGGUUCCCUGGAGAAUGGGGAUGAGAGAGCGUACAGAGAAACAGGGUCAUUUCUACUCAUAAACUCCUGUCCGGCUAGACUUUUUUUCCAUGACCAUGUGAUGUUGCUGUCAUUAUUUUAACAAUACCACUUUUCAAAUAACAAAGCAAUUCACUGAAGUUCAGGAAACUGUUUCUAAAUACAUCAAAAAAAGGGGGCAGAAAACAACUUUGUAUACGAUUCCUUGACAAUGAUAAACCCAAAGAACAGCCGAGACAUAGACGCCAAGCGGAAGAGAACAACUAGUCAAGGCAGCGUGUGUUCGUUGAGGUCUUCCCUGCCCAUGACCUGUCCCAAAAUUUUUUGAAAAAACAGUUGCUCUUGGAUUUACUCAUACAGUAUUAGAAGGAAAUCUAACAGAAAGAAUAGCAUGAGUUUUUCCUACUUUACUUAGAUUUUUUUUCUGUUAAAUAGAAAUGAUCAUGUGAAGACACCUUUAUUUUCUCUUAGUGGCCAAAUAACAAGUCUUUUGUUGUCCCUGCUGUAGCUCAAAUAGAAAAGAUGGCUUCCUAAAGCCACGCAGAGGACAGUAAGGAGCAGGGGCAGAUAGACCGGUGACGUGCAGGCACGAUUAUUCCAAAGCUAAUAGCACAGAACCUCACCUGGGUGGCUGAGAGAGGGGGGUGCAGUCUGCAGACCCGUUACAGGAAAGGGGAGGCAGGUGAGUGGGAGUGGAGCUCGCCCCCCUCCCCACCCCAAGGCGGCCUCCGGGGUGAGCUGGGCAAGUCUGUGAAUACAGAACAAUGCUGCGCUUGGAGCUACGCUGAGUCUUUUUUCAGACUAAUGGCUCAGGCGGUGGAACUACCCAAAGAUGACUAAAAUGUGAGUCAAAUGCUUUCAAAUCAAAUUAUUCCAGUGAAGCAGGAACGCAGGCACACAGAGAACAGGCCAUUAGGAGUUCUAAGCAGUACCUGUGUGUGAAACUUGAAGAAAUUUGCUCUCCUUAAUGACUGCCUCUUUCAAUCUAAGUCAUUUUGUCAGCAGUGAGCUGGGGACAAUCGGUCUUUAUUACUAGUGACACCCUCGGAUCAGCUGGGCUUGCGCACUUUGCCGACCCUGAUUGGACCUCCUUCUCCCCCGAGGUCCGCCCAGCAGGUCUUCAGUUAUCCCAGAGGGCGUCAGGAAAUUCUAAAAUUAGCCUCCAAGUUGGUGUCUUGGUAAUUUUGAAAACCAACUUUCACUUAAAUACAAAGCGCUCACAUUAAGGAGAAGACAGGUUGGGGGAAGGCAGAUGAGGAGCAGCAUGUCAUCAAAUGGAACCACAGGGCACACAGUCCCCAGAGGGCUGAACUGUGGCAUCUGCGCCUGGAAGAGACACCAGCCGGUGCUCUGCCCGGCUUGGGGGGCCAUGGGGAGGGAAGCACCAGGGGCCCCUCUACAGACAAGUGGGCAGUUUCCCUGACGUCUGUCCCCUCCCUCCCCCUUUCUUCACUAAUUGCUCGGAAUUGCUCAGUUUCACAUUCUUUCCCCCAAAUGUUUGCUCCCUAUUUUGCAAUCCAGUUCCUCCACAGUUUUAUGGGUUUUUUUU